rnacentral:lncRNA from 1 species
CAAAAAAAAAAAAAAAAAAGGGGGAGGGAAAGGCUAGUACCUAAUUUGGGGACCCUAGAAGUGAGGUAGAGAAGUCUAGUGCAGACCUUGACUCUGAGAGCCGAGAGGGACCGCCAGCGCCCUCGCACUGGGACUGUGGUGUGUGCGACCGCCAGCAUCGCUCAUCUACAGAGGGAAGCAGUGUGGCUCCGAGGACGGAGAAGCCCGUGGGCUGAGCCUCAGCACCUCCAAGACCUGAGAGUGACCGGCUGUUAUUCCGUCCUGCUGGCCAUCUCUGUGGCGAUAAGGACUGGGUUGUUUUGGGAUUCCUCGCCUUGGAUUGAGUCCUGCGUACCAUCCCAUGCUGGUGGAGCACUCAGUUGCCCUGGAGUUUCUGUCCUGGUGGUCCGAGAGAUGGGAAGUUCUCCUGCCGGUCAUUUCCAUCUGUGGUUGGCUUGUUUUGUGAAAGUUGCACACUUGCUGGAUAGGAGAAGGGAGCUGCUCCCGCAGAUCCUCAGGCCUGGCAAUCCUCUUACAUUCACCAGUGGAAGUGGGUUUGACAACUGCUUCUAGGUGAGCUCUCUUCUGCUAUUUCUCGGGGAGCAAGAAAGCACACGGGCUUCUCCAGCACCACCCUGUGUGGGGCCCACCUCUGGGGGUGCAGGGAAGCCUUGGGAUCAAAAGCAGAUUGAGCAGAAUCUAGGCGGGGUG